CUGGACAUUCCAACGUCGCCAACCAUUGUGUGAAAGCAGGUAUUUAAACAGAAAGUUUCUCUUUGCUCAUCACAUUUUGAUUUUGGUCUCGUUUGAAGUCGGAUCUGUGUUUGGAAGCUUCUUUUUGAAGGAAAAUGUCUUGUUCGGAAGAAGGAGGAUGCUUCAAAGCGGGCUCAGUUUCUCAAGAAACAGAAACAGAAACCGAUGGAUCAAAUGGCAAAAUGUCAGAAAAUUCAGGCGGUCGACAGAAGAGAUACAUUACCCAAACAUCAGAAAUCGCAAAAUGCAAUCAAGUGCAAAUAAGAGGACAUUUGAGUGAUAAAUUCGACUGGGACAAACCAAUUCCGGAAUUUCACAGCAAUAAACACUGAGCGACACACCAGAUAAAUAGCAUAAUUGUAUAAUUUAGCCUUCGCGAUGUUUGAAUCAAGUUUACAAGUAAACCAUUUUAGUAGUUUAGUAAAAAUAUAUUGCAAAAGCAUUUGAUCAGCUCGGUGUCAUUCGUUCUCGUGUCCAUUGAAAAAUUCAUUAGAAAUUGAUCAACAAAACUUUAUCAAUUUACACUCAAACUGUACGGGUUUAUCAUCGUUUAUAAACCAAAAAUGAGAAUAAAAAUGAGCCUCAAACGUA